CUCAACAGACUUGUGGUGGAGUAACAGAGUGGAGACCACCGAGGCAACUCCCAGAUCUGCACCCACAAAUGGGGGGGGGCAGGCACUGUGGGACUUUGCCACCUGCCCAGGCCCCUUCCUUCAACUGCAGCAGAACUGCUUUCCAGUGCUCUCUGAAGUGAAGGAUGCUGAGGCUCAACCCUGUUCAGUGAAGCACAACCCCGGAGCCAUGUCUGGAACCAGGAUGUCUCCACGUCUCCUCGUCUCUCCCCUAGUGGCUCAACCUCCAGCAGGGCAGGUGACCUGCAGUCCCGGGGAACCCACAACUCCAUUUCAGACCCUGGGCACAGGUGGUCACGGACCUGGCAGGACUGCAGGGUCACCAGUGCCCCCCAGCCCUGAGUUGGAGCUACCUAUGUCCUGGCCUAAGGACCUUCCUCCCGGAGGCCUCCGAGCCCUUCCCAGCUGGCACAGGACUUACCAUCUCCUUCAGCUCUGCCAGCUUCUCCUGCAGCUGGCUGAGUUUUGAGGCCAGCUCCAGCCUCCAGACCUUUCAGAGCCAACUGCUCCCUCAGUUGCCACAUCCCACCUUGCCACCUAGCAAAGUGUCUGCUGCCAAGGGUCCAUGGGAGAUGGGUGCUUCACCAGUUUCGUUGCCUGCCUGGUCCUUCACCUGCUCUGCUCCAGGGACAUCUGUGCUCCAAGGACAUCUGUGCUGCCCAGACUUCUGUGCUGCAGUCCUACCAGGAUGCAUACAGCAAAGUUUGGGAGAAAGCACAAUUGCAGAGGGGAGCACAGAGAGGCAGAAAGGACUGAAUCACCCUGCAGUAAGAAAAAGGAGGUCAGUGUUUCAUGUGGACAAAGAAGAAAGAAUUGUGAGAUAAGGUCAAAGAUAUUCGCAGAAACUAGUCACUCAGAACUUCCUAAUUCAGGGGGAUGGCCUGACCUUCAUGCUAAUUGUGAAAAUGGAGAGAGGUGUUGGCGAGUGGAGUGAAUUGAAUAAUUUGUGUUUGAGAAAAAUCUCUUUGCAUUGGGGAAACUAGAUUGUAGGAGAACAAGAAUGCAACAGGAAAACAACCAAGAAACUUGCAGUAGACAAAGAGAGAGGAGUGGGUCAGAGUGGUGUAUUGCAUAGGUUGUUAGCUAAUAGGACUGAUGUGGAUGGGUAUAGAAAGUGAGGGAAAGACAGAAAUUAAAGAUGCUGCCAAAGUUCCUAUCCUGAGCAACUUGGUAGAUGUAAUUGCUAUUUGCUUUUUUUUUUUUAAAGUUUCAUUUCUAUUUGCUGAAUUCAGAGAAAAAGAGUAGAUGUUUAGGUAAAUAGAAGAUUGGUGUAGUUGAAGAGGUUAAAUUCCAUCUUCUUUUAUAAGAAAUCACACCACUCUAUCUAACAAAGAUUAUUGAUAUAUAAUGUUGUGGGGAAGAAUCAAGGUGGAGGCCCUGUUGCAGGGGUGAAAGAGUUCACCAGAGACAGAUGGGAAAGACCAGGUGAAUUUAUUGAAAUACACUGCUAAAAGAAGCAGAGGGCGAAUCAGGAAGGUUGUACUGCUCAGAGUUUGGGUCCCAAGUCUCUAUACUUUAGAACCAUUGACUGGUUAGGGUGACUAGUCUUGGGUGUGUCCUGACUGAUGAUCCGAAUCAGCAUAGAGGGUCAUCAGUUCCGGGGCUUCACCAGCUUAAGGACCAUGUUUCCAUGGCAGUUCCAUCCACUCCCUUUAUCAUUCCAGCCUCUCCUACUUGCCUGCUGGGUAAGGAGUGGGAGCUUGGUUUUCAAAUUCUUAAUGAUACUUUGACAGGCCAGAGGUGCAGGGGUGAAAAAUUUCACCAGAGGCAGACUGGAGAACAGAAAAGGCACAUUUGUUCAAAUACACUGCUAAUGAAGCAGCCGGGGAGACAGGAAAGAUCUGCAAGUGAAGAAAGAUUUGGGGGCUCCCUUUUAUAACUGGUUUUGUCAUUUUUGCUUUGGGGAGUAAGUUUUGGGCUGGUUAGUGCAGGGGAGUCUGAUCCUGGGGGGUUGAUCUUUGACCCAGAAUGUGUCCUGGCCUUGCCUCCACAUUCCUGGUCAAAGGGAUCCAUCUUACGGAUUGGGACCCAGAGCAGCCUUAUCAGUUCUCUCUGUGUUCAAGCCUCCCAAACCUUCCUGCUGGGCAAGGGGUAGGGGCUUAAUUUUAACCUUAUUUAACACUUCCCCACCAUUUGGUUUCUGUUUUUCUGCCACAGUGGAUACUUUCCUAUAUGCGAUUUACAUUCCCUCUUCCUGGUCUUCACCUGUCUGCAUCUGUUAAAUUCGGAAGUCUCUACUGACAGAAACAAUUCAAAGCAUGCACUUUAUGACUUAACACUCUUAUAUCAAUAAGUGUCACAUAAAUUACCAAAAAGAGAAGCCCAAAUCCCCAAAGGCUAAACACGGAAUCUACAUUUUCUUAAGAGAAUUUCUGACAAUUAAAUUGUAAGUUAUGGUGAAAUCUAAAGCAGCAAAAGGUGUUGAAUAGGGUUGCUUUAUGUUUUAUUGCUAAUUCCCUGUCAAAGCCAUAUGCUUAAUUACCAAAUAUUAAAACAUGUGCCCAUCAAAGUGUUAGGGGGAAAGGAAGUCCUGAGCUAAUUCCAUACAGGCUUUGUGGACUCCACCCCACUCCAGACCAAAGCCAUCAGGACACUGGGAAAGACAAAUUCCAUCACCACCAAAAGAGGGUUGCUGGGACCUGAGGGUGGAGUUAAGCAGCCAGGUUUGAUAUAAAACCAGACACAUGGGUCUUGGGGGCCCCCUUCUUGGCUUCACGGCUCUUGGCUCGCGGCCAGAUCUCAGAGUACCAUUGGGUUUCCAGGUCAGCGGAACGGGUAGGACGCAUUUAAGACUUGAUCUCCCUAUUUUCUCCCUGAGUUGUACAUUCCCUCAUUUCCCCUUUCCUCAGAGUGCACUCAUCCCUCUUGUGGACCUGACUCAGUAUGCUCCUGACUACACUGAGCGGGAUGAGGAGAGAGCUUGUGCAUGGGGAUUUACUGAGUUUGACCCCAGCUCCACUUGGAGAGUAAACUCCCAUGGGAUGAUACUCCUCCCUGAGGCCCUGGUAUAUCCGAUGCUAAAACAUCUUCAUGGAGGAUCUCACUAUGGGAGAGAUGCCUUAUUAGAAACAGUGCGCCCAUAUUUGAAGGACCCAUAUUUACAUAAAAUAGCACACCUGGGUCUGUCAACUAUGUGCCAGGAAUAACCCCAAGACUUACUCCCACCCUAAAGCCAUUCGGGUUCAAUAUCGGGGCAAGUACCCUUUUGAGGACUGGCAGGUGGACUUUACACAAAUACUUAGAAAAACAGGCAGUUUCAAAUACCUACUGGAUUUUGUGGACACGUUCUCCGGAUGGGUGGAAGCUUCUCCCACAAAGACGAAGAAAGCUUCCAAGGUGGCAAAAGAGCUGCUGAAGGAGAUAAUCCCUCGCUUUGGGUUGCCCAGCUCCAUCCAGAGUGAUAAUGGGCCAACAUUCAUCUCUGACUUUACUCAUGCAGUAAGCAAUGUGUUACAGAUCAGCUGGAAAUUGCAUGCUGCAUGGAGACCACAGUCUUCUGGAAAAAAUGAACCACACCUUAAAGAAAACCUUGGCAAAACUGUGCCAAGAAACACACCUUCGUUGGGACCAAGUACUAUCCCUUGCCCUCCUCCAGAUAAGAGUAGCACCUAGAAGUGGGCUACAAUUAAACCCCUUUGAAACUGUGUUUGGAAGACCUUUCCAGGCCUCAGUUUGGAAAGGCGGUCCAGAAAUAGCACAAGAUUGCCGGAUCAUACAAUAUGCGAAACAUAGCCAGGAGGUUCUGGCACAACUUUGCAACCUCAAGGAUCUCUAUGCCUCCUGAUCAACCAUUGUAUCCCUUCCGACCUGGAGAGCAGAUCUUACUCAAGACUUGGCAGAGUGGGCAUGCCAAAAACCAGCUGUCAGAAAAAUGCACUGGUCCACAUGACGUUUUGCUGAGCAUACAUACUUCUUUGAAACUUGCAGGCAUAAAACCCUGGGUACAUCAUUCCAGAGUUAAGCAAGCACCAGAAGGAACUGACCCAGAGACAAAGUCCCACUGGUCUUGUGAACUCAUUGAGGACUUGAGAUGUAUAUUUAAGAAAAAGACAAAAACUUGAAUGUUACUGACUUCUUUUCCAGUUAUUGUUGCAGGAUGUCCAAAGAUUCACUUUUCUGGAUUUUUUUUUUAAGAUUUAUUUAUUUAUUUAUACAAGCACUGCGUACAGUCAGAAGUGCGGGAGGGUGAGAGAAUUCACCAGAGCCAGAGCGGGGAACAGAACAGGCAGAAUGACGAAAUACAUUGCUGAGGGGAGCAGCGGGGUGAGGCAGGAGAGGUCUGUCAUGCCAUGUGGGACCCUCGCCAGUGGCCGGGGAUUGAACCGGCACUGCAGAGGCUGCGGGCAGCCCCACAGUCCAGCGCUCAACCACUGUGCCACCAGGGGAGGCCCGGAUUCACUUUUCUGAAGAAACCCUAAGAUGACUAACAUGAUCAAACCAAUCUUCUUCCUUUCAAAAUUUAAGAGAUGUGAAAUAACAUCUAGAAUCACGCAUAUGCUGGCAGUAUUUUUUUUUUUUUUUACACAGAAAGGCUUUCAAUCUUG